GCAUGCAUUACGUUUCGUAAACACACCGUGUCUAAUGCACAAUAAACAGAGACAGUAUUUAUUUUACCUUGACUUUUAUUGAGUAACAUCAAAGAAAUAAUAGCUAUUGUGCUUUCAUUGACCAUAUGCCCUGUGUUGUUUUUGAAAAUUUACAGAGAAUUAUACUCAUUAAACUCUACGAAUAACUGUGCAUUAGGAGUUUUGUCCCUGUAUUAGGAAUGGAGAAACUGAGGCCUGCACAAGGCUGCUUGUCCAGGGGCCACACCUGGUGAAGGGCAGGGUGUGGACUGGUACGCAGGCCCGCCGCGCGUGGGAGGGCCAUGUCACUGCCUUGCAGCAACCCGUGCCCAGAGACGCGGUCCGGGUCCCGCCUCUAGAGGGGCUGGAGGGAGGGGCCUGCAAACGCCAAAGCCUAAAUCCACACGCGGGGCCUGUUUUAGCUUUGUGGAGGUAUAACCUGCACCAAGUGCACCGUUAAUAUAAUGCAUCUGUUUAAAGCAUGAGCCUGCGUGAAACCGCCUCACUCUCAGACGCUCCCAAGGGCAUCCCUGUCUCCUUCUCCCAUCACUCCCGAGCCCCGAGCCCCCAGCCCUGAGCCCCAGGCAGCCUCCCAUGUGCUCCCUGCCACCACGGAGCCGUUUUGCCUUUCCUAGAACUGAAUUGAGAUGGAGUCACAAUGGGCACUCUCUGUGUCUAGUUUCGUUCCUGAAAUUCAUCUCUGCUGUGGCCUGGGUCAGGGGUGGCCCCUGGCUCUUUCCUGUUUCCACCAAAAUGAGGCAAGGUUUCAACAGCAAUUUAAUCCGCCCCUUAUUACUGUGAAUGCAGGUGUCCUCAGGGCGAAGGCCACCAGACGGGGAAAUAACCUUCACUGUCAUCUGCUCAGGUUUGAUUCCAAUCCAAGAAAAGAAACUUUUCCAAACGAACGCUGUGAAUUGUGCACUUAAGGUGUAAGAAAAUGAGUACCUGAGAAUGUUUAUCUCUGCGGCUGUGGGGAGAGGGGAAAGCAGACACAAACACGGCUUCCCACCCGCUGCUCCCAGACACAGCAGGCCACGCCGGGAGACCUGGCAGAGGCGGUGGCUCAGUGCUGCC
rnacentral:lncRNA from 1 species